UUCACUCAAUGUCCACUCACCUUUUGCAAACCUGCAAAACCAAUUCACAAUUUAAAAAAAAUAGCUUAUCCAAAUAAGCACUUUAAAAACUAGAAAAUAAAGGAUGGAACAAACAGAUUAAUUCUUUACACAACAAACCAAGAAGAACGUUCAAAGAUCACAUUCCAAUAUCCAAACCAACAACCUUAAGUCCAUAAGAUUAAUCAUCCCAAAAAAUCUGGAGAAAGGAUAGCUUGGCAAGUUAUCUUAUAACCAACAAUGAGCAUAUAU
rnacentral:lncRNA from 1 species